AGCAGCCGCGGUAAUUCCAGCUCCAAUAGCGUAUAUUAAAGUUGUUGCAGUUAAAAAGCUCGUAGUUGAAUUUCGGGGUCGGUAGAUUGGUCAUGCCUCUGGUAUGCACUGGUCUUACUGGCUCCUCCUUCCUGAUGAACCGUAAUGCCAUUAAUUUGGUGUUGCGGGGAGACUGGACUGUUACUUUGAAAAAUUGAGUGUUUAAAGCAGGCUAACGCUUGAAUACAUUAGCAUGGAAUAAUGAAAUAGGACGUUCGAUCUUAUUUGUUGGUUUCUAAGAUUGACGUAAUGAUUAAUAGGGAUAGUUGGGGCAUUAGUAUUCAAUUGUCAGAGGUGAAAUUCUUGGAUUUAUUGAAGACUAACUACUGCGAAAGCAUUUGCCAAGGAUGUUUUCAUUAAUCAAGAACGAAAGUUAGGGGAUCGAAGACGA
rnacentral:rRNA from 1 species